UGGGCCAGGUAUGGAAUUGUUUCAGUC
rnacentral:piRNA from 1 species